CCUACGGGUGGCAGCAGUGAGGAAUAUUGGUCAAUGGGCGCGAGCCUGAACCAGCCAAGUAGCGUGAAGGAUGACUGCCCUACGGGUUGUAAACUUCUUUUAUAAAGGAAUAAAGUGAGGCACGUGUGCCUUAUUGUAUGUACUUUAUGAAUAAGGUUCGGCUAACUCCGUGCCAGCAGCCGCGGUAAUACGGAGGAUACGAGCGUUAUCCGGAUUUAUUGGGUUUAAAGGGAGCGUAGAUGGGUUGUUAAGUUAGUGGUGAAAGUUUGGGGCUCAACGUUAAAAUUGCAAUUGAUACUGGCAGCCGUGAGUACAGGUGAGGUAGGCGGAAUUCGUGGUGUAGCGGUGAAAUGCUUAGAUAUCACGAAGAACUCUGAUUGCGAAGGCAGCCUACUAAACUGCCACUGACAUUGAUGCUCGAAAGUGAGGGUAUCAAACAGGAUUAGAUACCCGGGUAGUC
rnacentral:rRNA from 1 species